UACGUAGGGUCCGAGCGUUGUCCGGAAUUAUUGGGCGUAAAGAGCUCGUAGGCGGUUUGUCGCGUCUGCUGUGAAAUCCCGAGGCUCAACCUCGGGCCUGCAGUGGGUACGGGCAGACUGGAGUGCGGUAGGGGAGAAUGGAAUUCCCGGUGUAGCGGUGAAAUGCGCAGAUAUCGGGAGGAACACCGGUGGCGAAGGCGGUUCUCUGGGCCUUACCUGACGCUGAGGAGCGAAAGCGUGGGGAGCGAACAGG
rnacentral:rRNA from 1 species